AGAGUAUAUAUUAAAUAUUAAAUAAACAAAAGAAAUAUAGCGAAAACUGGUCAACAUGUGGCAUUCUAUUAUUUCCAGCAUUGUAAAUUACAAGUCCCGAAA